rnacentral:tRNA from 5 species
GAAACAGUAGUUUAACUGGAAAAACAUUCCCUUCACCGGAAGGUUGCAGGUUCGGGCCCUGUCUGUUUCU